rnacentral:rRNA from 1 species
UACGAAGGGGGCUAGCGUUGCUCGGAAUCACUGGGCGUAAAGCGCACGUAGGCGGAUCGUUAAGUCAGGGGUGAAAUCCUGGAGCUCAACUCCAGAACUGCCUUUGAUACUGGUGAGCUUGAGUCCGGAAGAGGUGAGUGGAACUGCGAGUGUAGAGGUGAAAUUCGUAGAUAUUCGCAAGAACACCAGUGGCGAAGGCGGCUCACUGGUCCGGUACUGACGCUGAGGUGCGAAAGCGUGGGGAGCAAACAGG